GGGGACGAAGGGAAUCGACAGGGAGCUAGGUAGCCGGAUAGCAGGCCGAGGUUGGGCGUCACCCUCGUAAAUCAGGCGGCCAAAAACAAAUGGCACUAAUCGCCAACUCGCACUCGCUGCUUAAACCACAGUAGAGGCUGUCCCUCCCGAAGCCCGGCCUGGUAGCGUCGGGAAGGGGCAUCGCAAAAGCCAGGAUGCCGCGAGCUCACGCCGAUAGCGCUCGCGAAAGAUGUAUCGGCUGGCUGACGGACGUGAGGACCACCAUCGCAGUUCGCCAGUGAGACCCCCAUCGGUGGGAAAGCCUGUAGGACAAUUCGGAGCCAACCUUCGCUGGACCGGGAGUUCAACUCUCCCGCGUCUCCACCA
rnacentral:tmRNA from 1 species